CCUGACAAAGUAGUCACAGGGUGGGGACCGCUCGAAUGGUGGGGACUUACACUUGGUCCCCAUUAUGUUUUUCCUUUAGAUGAGCCUAGAACAACAUUGCCAACUGCCUGGAUACAAAAUUUAGGUUGGCCCAUAUGUCAUGAAAUUUUGAAAAUGUGUGUUUUGUGUGUGUUUUGGGGGUGCUCAGCACCGCCUACCCAUGAUCGUGCACUGUAACUGCAUGUCUCUCACACACACACACACAUGUGGACAUCUACCAAUCAGAUUCGAGAAAUCAGAAUAUGCAAAUGAGUAGAUCGCAUCAUCGAGAAAGACCGCCAGAAAACCAAAAUCAGAAGAAGAGGAAGCAGCCAUUUUGGGAACAGCAAUAUUUUUCUACCGUAUUUUCACUAUUUUAUGGAACAUCAUCCAACUUCACAGAUACAAAAUGUAGGACAACCAUGCCAGCAACAACAAAAGAUUAACAUGCUACGACGAAGACGAAAUCCCUUGCACGAAGCGCGUGACCAUGCAUGUAAUUGCAGAGACACUGAAAUGCUGGAGGCGAAGUUCAUUAGCCCUCAAAAAGGCCGUGGUGUCUUUACCUUAGCACCAUUCCAGCAGGGUGAUUUUGUGGUUGAAUACAGAGGAGUAAUCAUUGAUGCAGCAGAAGCUCAUUAUAGGAGGAAAAUCUACCAUAAACAUUGGUGUGUCUUUUUGUUUGACUUUAAAUGGAAAGGCAAAUG